rnacentral:rRNA from 1 species
UGAGGAAUUUUGCGCAAUGGGGGAAACCCUGACGCAGCAACGCCGCGUGAGUGAUGAAGGCCUUCGGGUCGUAAAGCUCUGUCGAGUGGGAAGAACCUGUAUUGGGGAGAAUAUCCCGAUGCAUUGACGGUACCACUGGAGGAAGCACCGGCUAACUCCGUGCCAGCAGCCGCGGUAAUACGGAGGGUGCAAGCGUUAUUCGGAAUCAUUGGGCGUAAAGGGCACGUAGGCGGUUUGCUGGGUCGGAUGUGAAAUCCCGGGGCUUAACCCCGGAAGUGCAUUCGAAACUGGCAGACUUGAGUAUGGGAGAGGGAAGCGGAAUUCCUGGUGUAGAGGUGAAAUUCGUAGAUAUCAGGAGGAACACCGGUGGCGAAGGCGGCUUCCUGGACCAAUACUGACGCUGAGGUGCGAAGGCGUGGGGAGCAAACA